UACGUAGGGUGCGAGCGUUAAUCGGAAUUACUGGGCGUAAAGCGUGCGCAGGCGGUUUUGUAAGCCAGAUGUGAAAGCCCCGGGCUCAACCUGGGAAUGGCAUUUGGGACUGCAAGGCUUGAGUGCGGCAGAGGAGACUAGAAUUCCUGGUGUAGCAGUGAAAUGCGUAGAUAUCAGGAGGAAUACCGGUGGCGAAGGCGGGUCUCUGGACGACUCCUGACACUGGAGGCACGAAAGCUGGGGGAGCAAACAGG
rnacentral:rRNA from 1 species